UGCAUUUGUAGCCUAUGAGGAUGAGAACCUCCGGGGGCAGGGAGGUUCGACUCGAGCGAAGCGAGAGAACGUUGCGCCAGCAACGGCCCGCAGGGCGAGCCACGAAGUGGCGA
rnacentral:sRNA from 1 species